rnacentral:rRNA from 1 species
UACGUAGGGCGCAAGCGUUGUCCGGAAUUAUUGGGCGUAAAGAGCUCGUAGGCGGUCUGUCGCGUCGGCUGUGAAAACCCGAGGCUCAACCUCGGGCCUGCAGUCGAUACGGGCAGACUAGAGUGCUGUAGGGGAGACUGGAAUUCCCGGUGUAGCGGUGAAAUGCGCAGAUAUCAGGAGGAACACCGGUGGCGAAGGCGGGUCUCUGGGCAGUAACUGACGCUGAGGAGCGAAAGCGUGGGGAGCGAACAGG